AGGGAAUCCGAACUUGCACUAAAAUGCAGUGGAAGACCGCGUACCCGAAGAGCGUAGUGCCCGGGGCGCCCUGGAACUCACCUGUGACAACGUAAAUCGAAUGAAAUGCCGUUUAGCCGUUUGCUAUUAGUUUCGGUUGUGAUUUGCCGAGUGAAGAUAUGAGACGAGCUUGGCCGCGUGACUGGUAACAACAUAAUGUGUCUUAAAAUUUUAUUUUCAUCAUCUUUUUGUACGGUAUAGCGGCGUUUCACUUUUUUCUGGCAUUGUAAACUGCAAUUGCUAGUUUGCCACCAGAGGGCCACGUAUCAAACCGAAACUCAAGAUGGCAGCUGUUUGAAAUGAAUGAAACAGCUGACCACAAACCGUCGCUUACCGAGCAUCCCCGUAAACUGACGGCAGCACAGUAUGCCUUGUAGGUAGUUGCUGUCUUGGUGCAUUCGCUGACACUAGUGUUGGAACUGAAGCGCAAAUAUGACUGCGUCUACGCUUGCAGCGAAUGGUGGACGCACGAUCGUCGGCCACUGAGCGUGGGUAAUCCCUGUAAAGUAGCGGUGGCAGUAUGUCGUGUUGAUGGUUGCUGUCUCGGAGAACUCUCCCAUGGUACUGCUGAAAUCGUUGUCAAUGGGCGCGCACCAGACAGUGUAUGCCUGGUCGUCACGACUGCGAUGCUUCGAGAGAACUUGCAACUCGAAUCGCCUCUAGUACCACACCGACAACUGUAUCGUCUGCUGCGUCGACGAAAUAUGACGUUCAACGGCCCACAAGUUCAAGAAGAGUGUACUGCAAAGCGUUUAUUCAUGAUGCUGAAUAAAAGAGUCCAGUGGCGGUCUGUACGUUUUCCUGAAUAUUUUCUACCCCUCUGCAGUCAAGCUUCCAGACGACAGUGUUUGUCCAUCACAGCGCCAUGGCACCACGGGACAUUGGCCCUCACAUAAACCAUCGGCAACAAGAAAUUAUAAUUAACUUUAUGGAGCGAAAUCCCCGUUUAGUGAAAUCAGGAGAUCUGGACCCAAAAUUCACAGCUCAGAGAAAAAAGGAAAUGUGGGAGGAGCUCGCGAAAUUGCUAAACGAUGCCGGCCCUCCCACAAAGCCCGUGGUGCAGUGGCGUUGUUGGUGGAACCGAUUUGUGAGUCGGGCCAGGGCGGACGCAGGAAACCUAUCCGCCGAGAUGAAGUAAGUAAACCAGGCGCGUAUGCUUUAGGGUAACGUCUGUUUCGAGUGUUUACGCAAACCACAUUGCAGGUCUACCGGCGGUGGACUCCUUGGGGGAGCGAAGGGCCGAGUGCUCGCCCUACUCGGGCCUGCGAGUACAGUACCGGUGCGGCCUGCGCCUUUCUUGAGCAGUCAAUGCGAAAGCGACUCCCAGCAACAGCAG